CAGUUUCUCGAGUUCCUCACAAGCAAAACAUAGUGUACGUUUAACAGACUUAAGAAAGUGAAGUAAUAGUGUGUGAUCGAUUCAAAAAUUAUUUAAUGCAAUGAAGAUGCGCCGUGAUUUCUACAACAGUGGAUUUACCUGCGCCGUUGUGUGGCUGUCGCUGGCUUGUCUGCUGUUCAUCCUCUCGCUAGCAACAAUGAUCACCGCCAAGCCGACCAUCAAUGAGAUUGACAUGACUAGCAAUGCUACAAACGAAACGUACCCACCUAUCAUGUGUCCCGGCAUAAUGGCAUGCCGCUGGGGAUUCAGGCACAAAAUCGAUGAGGUCACCGGCUGUCAAACGUGCUGGGAUCCCUGUUCCAACGUUGAAUGUCCAGAAAACAAGACAUGCGUGCUACAAAUGCGGUGUUUUACAACACCGUGUCCCGCGUUAACUACCUGCGUGAAUAUCACAUUAAUUUUUUAAUCUGCAGGCGAAUCCUUGCAGAUCAUCAAUUCGCAACGACUAUUUACAAUGUGCCAGUUACAGAAAAUGUACACUCUGUACACAUCUAAGGGUCAUUUGUGACCAGAGGUAAACUUCGGAGUUCCAGUUAAAGGAUACACAGAAUUGAAGCCAGUAACGCACAAAACUUAUUUUUUAGAUGCCAAACUUUUUUUAGGAAUAGAAAAGAGACCGAUAUUUAACAAGUUGCUCUUAAUAUUUCAAAAAACAAAAAUAGGCAGGACACGAAUGAUCAAAGGUAUGUAUUAAAUGUUAAAAAUGAUUAAAUAAAUUAUAUGUAAUAAUUAAAAUUUGCUUUUUACUAAAUUAAUAAAUAAUCAACUUAUUAAUGUCAGUUGAUUAUUUAAAAUCGAGCAAACGACGCUCACUUCAUAGACGUUCGAACUUUCAACGAACCGCGAAUAUCCGACAUAACUGUCCGAAAAUCGCAAUGUCCGAAAAAAUAUUAACGUGCAUACCGAUUUACGCUCCGCGACGACCACUCAUUGUUGAACCCGGCACUCCCGACGCGUCCGAAUCCGAGAUACGUUUUUACGAAAUUCGGAACACAACAACUUCACACCGAUGCUCGAAGCUUUGACCUUCGACGCGUCAACUGCAACGGUCGGACGCGACGCAACAGGGCGGAUUCAAAUUGCGUGUGAUCAUCGCACGUACAAAUUUAUGCUGCGACAAUUACUGCCAGAUUCAACACUCCCGAUGCACUAAAUACCUGUUCAAGACGCUCGCGAAACAUCGCAGCAACUUCACUCCGGUUCUAGAAGUUUCGACGCACCAACGGCUCGAGCAACGCCACACUGUUUGCAGGAUUGAUAUCGUGAAAUAUAGAUCGUUUGGCGGUCUCACGUACUAAUUUAUGCUUCAUAAUAAUCCCUUCGAUACUCCUAAUAAUACACUACAGGAAGUGAGGAAACAGUAAGAUCGCGGCACUUCACUCCCGAUGCUUCGAGCGAGCCAACGGUUCGCGAUUUACAAGAAUAGAUUCGCACGCGUCGUUCCACGACAAUCAUUUAUCACUAGAUUUUAUGUUUCCGACAAUCCUGUAACUCAUUCCUCACACGAGGCUCGUUCUGAACGGAAAAAGUACACACGAAACACGGAACGACACGAAACGCGUCAAGUAUGUACUGGCGCGUGCCAGGCAGUGCCAGGCAGUGCCGAGUCGCCCAGCUAACUGACGAGGUGUGACGCGUACUAGACCUUGUGACGUCACGUGCGUCGUACGAUAAUCAUGACCGUUAACAUUUUCAAAAAAUACGGCCGCUGUGUUU